rnacentral:rRNA from 1 species
GGCUGAAACUACGCCUACAUGAUGCUGGAGUUACUAGUAAUCGCAGAUCAGAAUGCUGCGGUGAAUGCGUUCCCGGGUCUUGUACACACCGCCCGUCACACCACGGAAGUUGGGGGCGCCCGAAGCCACUUAGCUAACCCUUUGGGAAGCGAGUGUCGAAGGUGAAAUCAAUAACUGGGGUGAAGUCGUAACAAGGUAAC